rnacentral:sRNA from 1 species
UGUUCUUGUGAUAUGCAUCUUAAAGAGUUUCCCAUUUUUUUUUGGUUUUUUGGUUUUUCU